rnacentral:rRNA from 1 species
GAGUUUGAUCCUGGCUCAGGACGAACGCUGGCGGCGUGCCUAACACAUGCAAGUCGUACGAGGACAGUCCUUCGGGACUGAGCCGAGUGGCGGACGGGUGAGUAACACGUGACUAAUCUGCCUUUGAGAGGGGGAUAACCUGGGGAAACCCGGGCUAAUACCGCAUGAAGUGUCGUGCUCGCAUGGGCGUGACAUCAAAGGGAAGCCUCUACUUGUAAGCUUUCGCUCGAAGAGGAGGUCGCGACGUAUCAGCUAGUUGGUAGGGUAACGGCCUACCAAGGCUACGACGCGUAGCGGGUCUGAGAGGACGACCCGUCACAUUGGGACUGAGAUACGGCCCAGACUCCUACGGGAGGCAGCAGUGGGGAAUAUUGCGCAAUGGUCGAAAGACUGACGCAGCGACGCCGCGUGUGGGAGGAAGCCCUUCGGGGUGU